GGCCUUAGCUCAGUGGCAGAGCAUCUUCUUUGAUGCAGAACGUACCAGGUUCAAUCCCUGGCAUCUCCA